rnacentral:rRNA from 1 species
GGAAUUGACGGGGCCGCACAAGCGGAGGAGCAUGUGGUUUAAUUCGAUGAUACGCGAGGAACCUUACCUGGGCUCGAACGUAAGAUGACUGUAGGUGAAAGCUUACAUCUCUUCGGAGCAUUUUACGAGGUGCUGCAUGGUUGUCGUCAGCUCGUGCCGUGAGGUGUCGGGUUAAGUCCCAUAACGAGCGCAACCCCUACCUUUAGUUGCCAUCAGGUUAAGCUGGGGACUCUAAAGGAACUGCCUACGCAAGUAGUGAGGAAGGCGGGGAUGACGUCAAAUCAGCACGGCCCUUACGUCCAGGGCUACACACGUGCUACAAUGGCCGAUACAGAGGGCAGCUACCUGGUGACAGGAUGCAAAUCUCCAAAGUCGGUCUCAGUUCGGAUCGGAGUCUGCAACCCGACUCCGUGAAGUUGGAUUCGCUAGUAAUCGCGCAUCAGCCAUGGCGCGGUGAAUACGUUCCCGGGCCUU